GUGCGCCUACGGGACGCAGCAGUAGGGAAUAUUGCACAAUGGGGGAAACCCUGAUGCAGCGACGCCGCGUGGGCGAAGAAGUAUUUCGGUAUGUAAACUUCUAUCAGCAGGGAAGAAAAUGACGGUACCUGACUAAGAAGCCCCGGCUAACUACGUGCCAGCAGCCGCGGUAAUACGUAGGGGGCAAGCGUUAUCCGGAUUUACUGGGUGUAAAGGGAGCGUAGGCGGUGCAGCAAGUCAGAAGUGAAAGCCCGGGGCUCAACUCCGGGACUGCUUUUGAAACUGUUGAACUAGAUUGCAGGAGA
rnacentral:rRNA from 1 species